rnacentral:rRNA from 1 species
UGAACGCUGGCGGCAGGCCUAACACAUGCAAGUCGAAUGGUAACAGGAAACAGCUUGCUGUUUCGCUGACGAGUGGCGGACGGGUGAGUAAUGUCUGGGAAACUGCCUGAUGGAGGGGGAUAACUACUGGAAACGGUAGCUAAUACCGCAUAACGUCGCAAGACCAAAGAGGGGGACCUUCGGGCCUCUUGCCAUCAGAUGUGCCCAGAUGGGAUUAGCUAGUAGGUGGGGUAACGGCUCACCUAGGCGACGAUCCCUAGCUGGUCUGAGAGGAUGACCAGCCACACUGGAACUGAGACACGGUCCAGACUCCUACGGGAGGCAGCAGUGGGGAAUAUUGCACAAUGGGCGCAAGCCUGAUGCAGCCAUGCCGCGUGUAUGAAGAAGGCCUUCGGGUUGUAAAGUACUUUCAGCGGGGAGGAAGGGAGUAAAGUUAAUACCUUUGCUCAUUGACGUUACCCGCAGAAGAAGCACCGGCUAACUCCGUG